AGGCCUAGGGAUAUACUCAGGAAAUUCAGAAUUGCAAAUAAAUAAUUGUCAGGAUUUAUAAAGCACCGUUCUUGAAUUCAAAUCACAAAAAUAUAAUCAAUCAACUUUCGCUGCAAAGACUAUCUAUGUCUAGAAGCCUAAAUUCCAAAUCUCUUUGCAAAUUUAUAAGUUUAAGACAUGCAUUUAAUUCAGGUUUGAUAAGUUCACAAAAUCCCUAAACCAAAUCUCUUUGCGAAUAGGUAUUUUGCUCAUCUAGAUUAUUUUCAGGAAAUCAAUAACACUUUCGUGUCUACCAAUUAACCUAAGAUCAUAUUAUAGGUUGCUUUCACUACUCUAGAACAAAUUAACCACAAUCUAGAUGAAGAACUCUAUAGAUUCAAUCCUAACAAUCUAACAACCUUACAAUUCAUGAAUUCCUUUGAAACCCUAAACCUAACAAGAUAACUACUCAUACAUGGUGAUUGAAACAAACAUCAUGAAUAAAAUAGAUAUCGUUAAAGAAAUCAAUAGCAGAAGUAAAGGAGUUCUGAAUCUUCUCUGAAGGAGGUUUUGAUUCUUCUCUCCUGACUCUCUACAAAUCUCUCUCUCCAAAAUAAAGCUUAAGUCUUAACAAAACCCUAAAAACUCAAUAUAUAUGUCUUAACCACGAACUGGGCUUAAUUGCAAAUAAGGGAAACUUCUGGGCCGAAUCUGCAAAUCUUCCGAACUUCAAUUAAGCGCGAAAUUCAAUUGCCGUCAGAUAUUGGUGUCGAUC
rnacentral:lncRNA from 1 species